UGAGGAAUCUUGCACAAUGGGCGAAAGCCUGAUGCAGCGACGCCGCGUGGAGGAUGAAGGUCUUCGGAUUGUAAACUUCUGUUAAGUGGGACGAAAGAGGCAAUUCUAAUAAAAUUGUGGGAUGACGGUACCAUUAGAGAAAGCACCGGCUAACUUCGUG
rnacentral:rRNA from 1 species